UGAACAGGACCAUCAGAUUCCAUUUUGCAUGCAAGCUGGAGGAUAGCUGAUUCACUGUGGGCUACCUUGUAUGAGUUUUGGGCUUUGGGUCCAUGAUGGUUUGUAGGCUCACCCAGUGAAACCCAAGCCUCUGAAUGCUGUGGAAGCUGGUUAGGAAGAAAAUUCACCUUUCAAAUGUGUUCUGAGUCACCAGGAAAACAAGUGUCGGCGGUGGAUGGAAUGCUAAGAAGUCUGAAAGUCCAUUGGCCAGAACCACCAGGAGGCUCCACCCACAUCAAGGCAGUGAAGGAGGGGGAGGUGCUGGGAUUACAGCCUUCCCGCAUGCCUGGAAAGAGGAGCACUGAAAAGGCACAGGAUCUGGAAGCUGUGAAGGACUUGAGCAAGAAUUGCCAGGCACAGGACAAGCAAGGCCUCAGAGCAUAUUUGAAAUAAUUUCUUAGGGGAUGAAACUGCUAAGGUCACUUCCUCUUUGCCAGGAACUAGGAUGGUGAAGGUCCUAGAAGGAGUGAGAAGUCUUAAGGUCAGGAGAGAAGCUCUGCUGAGGGG